UCUCUCGGAUGACUCUGGAGAUCACCUC
rnacentral:sRNA from 1 species